rnacentral:rRNA from 1 species
UACGGAGGGUGCAAGCGUUAAUCGGAAUUACUGGGCGUAAAGCGCACGCAGGCGGAAUGUUAAGCUAGAUGUGAAAGCCCAGCGCUCAACGUUGGACGGUCAUUUAGAACUGGCAUUCUAGAGUUUUGGAGAGGGGAGUGGAAUUUCUGGUGUAGCGGUGAAAUGCGUAGAUAUCAGAAGGAACAUCAGUGGCGAAGGCGACUCUCUGGCCAAGAACUGACGCUCAUGUGCGAAAGUGUGGGUAGCGAACAGG